AAGGCGUAAUGAAAGUGAAGGAAACUUUGUUUUCAAGGGAGGAUGGGUUAGGUUCCUCUCAUCAGGGCCGGCCUCGCACUCCCGGGGCGUCUCUAUCUCAUCGCGAGAGGAGGCGCACCUAGAGCGUACACGSUGAUACCCGAAAGAUGGUGAACUAUGCCUGGCCAGGACGAAGCCAGGGGAAACCCUGGUGGAGGUCCGCAGCGAUUCUGACGUGCAAAUCUGAUCGUCGGAGCUGGGUUUAGGGGCGAAAGACCAAUCGAACCAUCUAGUAGCUGGUUCCCUCUGAAGUUUCCCUCAGGAUAGCUUGCGCUCGGAAACAACGAGUCUCAUCCGGUAGAGCGAAUGAUUAGAGGCCUUGGGGUCGAAACGACCUCAACCUAUUCUCAAACUCCAAAUAGAUGAGAACCCCGGCUUUCUUGAACUCUGUUUAUGAAGCCGGGGGC
rnacentral:rRNA from 1 species